AUCAAAAUAUGAAACAGUGGCUGUCUUUGUUAGAUAGCGAUCGAUUGGUUUCCCUUAACCCACCUCGCGUCAUAGUCCGCGUUUUUCAAAGCUUCUGCUAGCGCGGGAGUAUUUCCGUGCUGAGAGUCUCCGGGGGUGUUUGGUUAGGUAAUUCUUUGGGAUGACAUUCUUUAGAAUAGUAAUUCUUAAUUUUUGGGGUUGUUUGGUUCUACUAGAAUGAUCCUCAUAAGUGAGCGUUCUACUUCCCAUGAAUGAUUAUAUUACAAAAGAUAUGUUCCAAAUUUGAGUUUACCUCAAUACUUAAACUCAGAUUUGAGCAACGUUUUUACCACCUAAUAUAAAAGGAGAUAACGGAAAGACAUUCUCUACGGAAGCUAACAUCUCAACCCGCGGCCUCUCAAACCGCGAUAGUCUCACCGGCGACUGCAGUGGCGAUUGAAGUGAUCUGCUCUCUGGUUCGCCUGCCCUCCCACCAACGAUGUUUGCUUCAGCCAGCUGAGGACUCUACAAAUUUGGAUUUGGUGAAACUAUCAGCCGGUAUUUCAAUGGUGUUUUGGGAGCAGUUCUCAAACUGUACCCGGUAUUGUUGAAGCCUCCGAGUACCAUAACACAUGAGCGAAUAUCAGGUGACCAUAAGAGCUUUUACCCUUACUUCAAGGAUUGCAUUGGAGCCAUAGAUGGAUCGCAUUACCCUGCAUGGGUACCAAUUUCUCAACAUUGAACAUUUCGCAAUAGGAAGGGAAAUAUAUCACAAAAUAUCCUAGUAGUUUGUGAUUUUGAUAUGAAGUUCAUAUAUAUACUUUCUGGUUGGGAAAGAUCAGCAUCUGAUUUAUGAAUAUUAGAUGAUGCCAUUCACAGAGAAGGUGAGGCAAAGCUACCAGUUCCUAGAGGUAAAUUCUAUCUUGUAGAUGCAGGGUUUGCAAACUAGAAGGGGUUCUUAAGACCCUACCAUAACGGUCGAUACCACUUGAUAGAGUGGAGAAAUUUGAGUGUUUCACCUGCCUACAAGAAAGAACUGUUCAACUUGCGUCAUUCAAGAUUGCGUAACAUAAUUGAGCGAGCUUUUGGACUGUUCAAGUCAAGAUUCAAGAUUUUGAAAACCCAACCAGAGUAUCAUUUCAAGACUCAGGCUAGGAUUGUACAAGCUUGUGUUAUGAUACACAAUCAUAUCCUUACCCAAAAUAGUGUUCAAGAAUAAGAGGAAUGGCUUGAACAGGAGAAUGCAGUUACAAGUGAGAAUACUAAUGAAGAAGUAAAAGACAAUGAUGAAGAUAGUGAUGAGGAUUCUGACGUUGAUGAUGAAAAUGAUAACUUUGAUCAAGAUCAAUUCCGAGAGGAGAUGGCUGAUUAUAUGCGGAAUGAUUAGAUGGCAGGAGAUGAUUCAGAUGAAGAAAUGUAUGAUUCUUCAUAUGAAUCACAAGAAGAUACAAACUGAAUCCAUUUGUCUUUUGUCCUAACUACUUGAACUAGACUUGGUUUCAUUUUAAGAUUUUGUAAUUUAAACUACAUGAACAUGUUUUGUGUGUCUUGGCUUGUAAUAACUUUUUUAAGUUCAUGGUUUCACUAUUAAUAUGCGUUCUUUGGAAUAUUAUGCUUUUUUUUUUUUAUGGUUACAGUUAUUUUCUCUUUUUUUUUUUUUAGCUGAAUAUUUGAUCAGGAUUCAUUGUAGCAAAGAUUGAUGUAGUUUAGGGUUCUAACUCAAAAAUUGCUACAUGGCCUUCUGAGAUAUCUCACUGCUUUCUGGAGCGUCCUCUUCACCAACAACAAAAGGGAAAGAAUGGAGAUAAUGGAUUGAAAAAAUAACAAUUUCAAGUAGUCUCAACUGAAUUAUAUGAUAGAUUUCAUAUGAAAUAUGAUUGGGGACAGUGCCGCAAUCACUACAGGAUAUGGAAAGCAAGGUUGAAGUCGCUUGUUGACUUGUAAAAAAAUAGUGGAAUGGGUUGGAAUGACCAUGAGAAGCAGUUUGAUGCACCACAACAUAUGUGGAAUGAAUUCAAGAAAAAAUAACAAAGAUUUUGGAAAGAGCAUAGAGUGCUUCCCAUUCACCUACAAAUUGUUGAAUGGCUGCGCAAAGAAAUUGCUACCGGGGCUGGAUCUUCACACCCAUCCGAUGCCAUCAAUGAGGACCAGCCUUACAUUCCAGUGCCAAUUGAUGAAGAAGUUAGCUUAGACAAUUAUGAUGCUAUUGAUGAUAAUGUUGGUGAAAAUGCCCAUUAUACUCCCAAUGCAAGUAGCAGUCGUUCCCGUGGUAGGCCUAGUUCAGGGGCAACAAGUAAAGAGAAGAAGAAGAAAGGAGGUGCAGAGAAGGUUAGUAGUCCUUUGAAGGUGAUAGCCAAUGCAAUUGUGGAGAUGGCCAAGCAAGACCCCCGGAAGGAAUUUGCAAAAAAAUUAUGUAUUGAGAUUGAUGCACUUCCAGGAGUUGAGUUUGAUAAAAAAAUUGCGUGCUAAACAAUUCUUCAUGCAACAUAAGGAAUUGGCUUCCAUCUUCUUGAAUGCCAAUGAGGCAGAUAAGCCUAGGGUGUUUGAACACUACAUGAAGAAUAUCGAAGAUGGUGGUCAAGAUUGAGGACAAUUUAUGACAAACAUUUGAAAUGCUUAUUUUGGUGAUGUAAUAGUGACUCGAUUUUUGAACUCUCUCAUUUAAACUGAUCAGCUGGUGAUUGGUAAGCUUCUGUAAGUAGGUAUUAUGAGUUUUAUUGGAAAGUAACAGAGUUGGAUGUCUGUUUAUCUAGAAUGCUCGUGGAAAUAUAUGGUAAAUCAGUUUUUUC